GUAACAGGCUGCUGCUGUGCUGGCAGAGAUGACUGUGUGCCUUUAUUGAUAAUAGCGAUCAGAAACUGACGUCGCUUCACGUGACUCUUCAGAGGAAAAGACGUCUAAUUUAUCUAAAACCACAUUUCAUUGUUUACUCUCUCCUCGCAUGGUUUCCUUGCGUCUAUCCAUGCAUCCCCGAUGGGAGGGACUAAGACACAAGUGAGGGAAACAUGGAUGCGAAUUAAGAGACUUGGGAUGUCUUCAGUUCGGUUGCAGGGCCAGAUGGGGAGACGGAAAUCGAUCUCAGCUCUCCAUCUUGAAAGACAUCCCAACUCUUGAAAUACCUCUGAAGGAGCGAGGAGGCUUGCCGGCACCGUGGCGUAUAAAAGAGGCGUGACACGUGGCUGGAAUGGGAAUCAAUGUAACUGUUCCUUUUUUACCCUCUCGGUUAUAUUUGUCUGCCCCUCUUUUUAAGCUUUACAGAAGAAAAAACACACCAAAACAACACAAUUAUUGGCCGAGAUACACGUGACUAUUGCUCGCUGUUUCGGGUCAGCGCUGAUUGUUGUGUGUGGAUGCGGCGGCGAUAGAUGGACACAUUUUAGUUCGGCUUGUUUCCCUUGCUUGCUUUUUAUGGCUGUAAAUAGAGCUGCCGGCCCUUAUUCCAUUUCCCCAUUGUAGCAACCUACAGACAGAAGUGUCCUCUGCUCGCAUCUCCCGGGGGCGGGACUAAGACGCUAGGAGAGGAGAGGAAUCUCAGGAUAUACAAACUGGGAAAGUCAAAGGCCUAAGGAUACACAAAAUAUGUACUAUUGAGGAAUGAACACCGACAAAGAGAGCGGAGUUAUUUACGGCACCGUCCUCCGGGUGUUACUUCUGUUACAGUUGAAAUUGGACUUCGGCGGCGGGAUUUAAAAGAAAGUUAGCACUUCAACAGAAGUCAAAAAUGCAGCCUUCUGCAUGGAUGAAUGGACAGUACCGACAGGUUGGACCAUCUUCUCAAUCCUCACAGGCUGCUGCUCAGUUAACCCAUGACGCAAUGAGGAAUCAGCAAACUAGGACUACAAAUAACUCAUGCCAGUACAUGACAGUGAGCACAGGAAUCCAACCACCACAAAGUGCUAAUUUCAUCUGUCUCGAUGGAGCGUACUCAAACAGACAACCGUCAAAUUGGCAGACCUCAGCAGUUCCUCAUCAGGUAGUUUCGUGUCAGCAGCCUGUCCCAGGGAAACCUUCUUAUCUGACUCUGUUGUUAUCUGGCAAGCUGAAACACUCGUCUAAUAAUACGCAAAGAGGAAACCCUGGUUUGCCGGUCACUUAUGGAUUUCAGCAAGAUUUUCAGCAGAACUCUGUUCAGAGUCCAUCGACCCAGAGUCCACCCAACAUGAAGGCACAAACUACAUACCUUCAGCAAGACAUGUCUGCACUUGUGAACCAAUCAGUUAGAGUUCACAGGAAACCAUCAAUAAGCACACAGGAUGGUAAUGUUGUUGCUGAUCUCCAACAUUGUAGGCAUCAGAAUAGCUCAUUUCACAACUUUAAUGGAGAGCUUACUAAACCUGUUUCAGGAUACACUGCUACAACAGCUACCUCGCCUCCAAAUGAAGAGGUGGUUUACACAGCUGCUUCACACAACAGACAGACUGCUCGUAACCACAAACACAGACCAAAUGGCACGCAGCAUGGUUUCUCUCCUUCCACCUCCCCGCCAAGUUAUAAUGCAACCAUCUCUUUCAGAAACGACAGCAUUACAACAAGCUCAUCUUCCAGUCUACAUAAUUCGCACGUUUCCACCACGAGUCAGAAAACUCUACACUACUUGGGACAUAACAAUAGGGGGGAGGCCACCUCCUCCAUAAACUCAAAUUCAUAUAACGCUGCUGUUGAUACACAACAAGAUAGGCACAGACUCGACCAUAUCGCAAGAAUUGAGGACUAUCUACGUAACUCGUUUGUUGCUGGUCCAGAUGUUCGUCCAGUGCAUACAAGUUCACCUUACGGAGGGAAGCAGUUUGCCAGCGAAGUCAGAAUGACAGAGUCUAAUCAAAAUAUGCAGGCUGUGGCAUCAAAUGUCACUGAACGUCACAAUUCUGGACAAUCUUUGCCUCAAACCACUCACAGUGUUAUGUUAAGACAGCACAGCGUAGAUGUGCCACUUCAGCAAAGCUCUGUACCAAACAGAUUUUAUGCGACAGCAAAACAAGAUGGAAGUGAAAAUGGAAGUAAGGCAGCCAAUGCAUUUUUUCCUAAACUAAUUGUUAGGUCUUUAAGUGAUUCAUCCCAACUGAGGCAGAUGCCUGAAGGCAUUUCAUCACAGAGAAAUGAAACCCAGUCAUCUGUUGCAAACAAUCGUGAAAGGGUUCAAAUACUUGAAACGCUCUCCUCAGUUAAGGCAAAUGACGGCUCCAUUCACUCAUUUCCUGGUCAAAUAAGAGCUGUUGCUGUUGUGCAGCCAUUGUUGCAGGAAAUCUACCCUGUUGCCAGAAAGCAGUCCAGUUCUAACUCAAUCAGUCAAUCGUCGGAGGUCACCGCAACAGAUGAAUCUUUGAGUAACCCUGAAAAAUUAUUUAUUUCACCAAAAAACAAACCGGUUGAGUAUUGGAGACAUUCAGCAGCAUCCAAUCAUGGUACUUUUGUCUCAUCUUCAGAAUCAGCUGGGAAAAAACACUUCCGUGCAGAUGAAACGGGAUCUGAAGUGGCUAUUAACAUGCAAGUAGAUCAGCGUGUUGCUCAACAAUCAGUAACCACCAAUGUUUCAGUGAGACAAAACAAUGACAAAAAUGAGAUGCCAACAGAUCCAAAAGGGUUUUUUGAGCUUUCCUCAGUCCCAACAACUACUUGGACACCUGUCACAUUAAUUGAAUUGAUACAGGAUACCGAAAAAGCUCAGGUACAGUUGAAAGAGUUUUCUAAAUUAGAGUCUGUAAUCCAAUUAUUAUUAAGGACGUUUUGGAGUGGCCACUCUGAAGAAUUUAGAUGUAAGGUCAAGACAGGCUGGUACAAGGAUUUAAUCACUGGUGUUAACAACUUCUGCAUCAAACAUGUAGCACAACACACUGUCGUACUGUCACAAGUAAAGCCCUGCUUUAGGAACCAACUCAAAAUCUACCAUGUCCUCAAAGAUGAUGAAGUUUAUUCAGAACUGCCCUACAAAUCAUCAUGGUUGAAUGUCAAUGAGCAGCUCGAUGACAUUGACAAAGAGUUUGACUUCCCGCAGUCGUUGAAGCAUGACAACCGGCCAGCUCGCGUCAUGACAGACAACGGCAUUCCUUCACAAAUUGUAAGUGAGGUGUCAAACAAGAAGUUGUCAUCAACAGAGCAUUCACCGGUUGACUCGAGUGAAGAAAAACAAGACUCCACUGUUGAAGCCAAUUCAAAACAAACUGCCUCCCCUAAUAAAACGGAGAGUGCCGAUUCCAGUGACCCAUGUUACUCAUUUAAAAUCCAAGUUUUGACUCCAGAAGAGGCCAAAGUUAUUUAUGAGCAAGUACAAAUCAAGCUGCCAAAAAGUAUGGACAUGGACAAUCAGCCGGAGAGAGUCACAAAUAGCUCUGUGGAGGGUGACUUACCUACGGUUAGGGAUGCCACAUUCAGCGACACAAAACUGGAGAACAAAUCAGUCGGUCUAGUAGACCAGGUUUGCUGCCUUUCACGGUGGGUGGAAAUCAUUUGCGGGUCAAACGCAGCUAAAUGUGAGUGCAAGUCCACGCAAAGCCAUGAAGAUAUUACCGACAAGACCCUUGAUAAGGAAGAGAUGGCAGAACAAAAGAAAGAUGAACUGUGUGCGAUCAAGUCUGACAGCAAAUUACACUCUGCCACUGACGGAAAGAAGCAAGCAGAGGGUGACAAGAACGUAGACCAUCCUGUUAUGACACUUUGCUGGCCUGAGCUAUGCAAUGGACACAGUCUCACCAUUGACCAAACUGAAGAUGACAAACUUCACUCAUAUGCUGACAAAGAAACAACAAAUAACAUUUCCCAGAUUAUACUCCUAAGUAAAAACGGAGAUUGUCUGUCCAGCAGUGAGAAUGAAAUUCCCAACCAGAUGCCAGACUUUGAAAAGGAUUUGGAACGAGCUGAGGUGAAAUUGACAGAAAGUAACCAGUCAAGCCGUUCAGACGAGAUAGAAACGAAGAAAUUCUCCAUAAGUGAGACUGAUAUCCAGUCAGACCCUGAAGUGGACUGUAUACAAAAUCAGUUAAAAUCUACAGGAAAUGUGCAGUCAUGUACUUUGGACAGUAGUGGCGAAGGUAUUGAAAAUCUCUCCAGCAGUAAAAGUGAAGUUGAGAGCCAGAUGUCAGACCUCGAAGAAAAUUGUAGACGAGCGCAGCUGACGUCUACAAAUGGGGCAGAGUCAUCAAUGGAAACCGAAGGACAAACUCAAAUUGUGACGGGUGCCCUACAGACAACAUGGACUGGUAAACAUGACACUGUUAAAAGAAAGAAGAGACGAAGCAGUCAUAAUAAUUUUUUUCCAGCUUUUAAGAAAUCAAAGAAAUGCAAAUCCAUUGUUGAUGUGGAGGACGAUUUGAAUUGUGGGAAGGUCUUUCUUGGUAGUGAACCAUCAGCCUCAAACACACGAACUGUAGAACUGGUACUGUUUGGAUCAACACCACAAAACAAGUGUCUUUUAAUUGGCAGCAGAAAGAGUCAUAUUUCAUCUCCAGAGGCUGUGUAUGAUGCAGUACCAAGGCCUCCAAACGUUAUCACUGUGAAACUCAGUCCCUUAAAGAGAAAGUCCAGUGAAACUGUCUCAACACGGAAACAUUCAGUCAAACGAUCACUUUGCGAAAAAUCAAGGACACGUUUUUCACUAACUAAAAUUAGGCACAGACGCAGACUGAAAACACAGGCGUAUACUUUUGAGUCUUUAUCUUUGGGCUGCCAGAGGCUGCCAGCUUCCUCUGAAAUGAGGAUCUGUAGUGGAAAAACUAAGCACUGCCAGAGUCUGAAGAGGAGUCGCUCUCACGGACUCAAACGUGGAGAGCAGAAUACGGAGAAACGCACGGUCACACUCAACCAGCCUGCUGAUCAAGAGAGAAGUAAGGCUGGAAAUGGAAGCCAUGCUGUGAUGCCACUCCAGAACAACGAUGUCCUGAAGUUCAAUGUCUUACCCAAUACCUUCAACUUCAAAGAUGGAUCCAAUGGGAGAAAGGAAACUAAUGAUCCUGUUCCAGCAAUACAGAAGUGUCGUUACAAUGUGGUGAAGAUCCUGAGGACAUCCGGCCCAGCUUCAGGAAUAUUCUCCCACAUUAAUUGCACCCCACAACAAGUUUGGGGACUUGUGAGAGACAGAUUAAAACAGACUGGUUUAAGCUCCAAAAACACUGGAUCCUACACGUGAACUGAAACUAAAUAAUGUCAGAAUUAUUUGCUCAGUCUUUAGAAAACCCCCCUCCCCACACCCGUUAGCCACAUAUUACAUUAUAUGAUUGUAAUGCUUCUCAUGACAAGUGCACUAAAUAAAC
rnacentral:lncRNA from 1 species